GACACGUGGUAUCCUGUCUGAAUAUGGGGGGACCAUCCUCCAAGGCUAAAUACUCCUGACUGACCGAUAGUGAACCAGUACCGUGAGGGAAAGGCGAAAAGAACCCCGGCGAGGGGAGUGAAAAAGAACCUGAAACCGUGUACGUACAAGCAGUGGGAGCACGCUUAGGCGUGUGACUGCGUACCUUUUGUAUAAUGGGUCAGCGACUUAUAUUCUGUAGCAAGGUUAACCGAAUAGGGGAGCCGAAGGGAAACCGAGUCUUAACUGGGCGUUAAGUUGCAGGGUAUAGACCCGAAACCCGGUGAUCUAGCCAUGGGCAGGUUGAAGGUUGGGUAACACUAACUGGAGGACCGAACCGACUAAUGUUGAAAAAUUAGCGGAUGACUUGUGGCUGGGGGUGAAAGGCCAAUCAAACCGGGAGAUAGCUGGUUCUCCCCGAAAGCUAUUUAGGUAGCGCCUCGUGAAUUCAUCUCCGGGGGUAGAGCACUGUUUCGGCAAGGGGGUCAUCCCGACUUACCAACCCGAUGCAAACUGCGAAUACCGGAGAAUGUUAUCACGGGAGACACACGGCGGGUGCUAACGUCCGUCGUGAAGAGGGAAACAACCCAGACCGCCAGCUAAGGUCCCAAAGUCAUGGUUAAGUGGGAAACGAUGUGGGAAGGCCCAGACAGCCAGGAUGUUGGCUUAGAAGCAGCCAUCAUUUAAAGAAAGCGUAAUAGCUCACUGGUCGAGUCGGCCUGCGCGGAAGAUGUAACGGGGCUAAACCAUG
rnacentral:rRNA from 1 species